rnacentral:rRNA from 1 species
UGCCUAGUAGCGGCGAGCGAAGCGGGAGAGCUCAAAUUUAUAAUCUGGCACCUUCGGUGUCCGAGUUGUAAUCUCUAGAAAUGUUUUCCGCGUUGGACCGCACACAAGUCUGUUGGAAUACAGCGGCAUAGUGGUGAGACCCCCGUAUAUGGUGCGGACGCCCAGCGCUUUGUGAUACAUUUUCGAAGAGUCGAGUUGUUUGGGAAAUGAA